AUGAGGCAGGUGGGCUUCAUCACCCUGUGCUGAUGAUUAUCUUAGGAGCACCAGCUGUUGGGAGGCAAUUGUCUCUUCCACUAUAAAUGGGAUCUGCUGCAAAGCCAGGAGGGCUGAAAAGACAAAAUUCCUUUGUUCUCCAAGCUGUUCAGAAACAGAAAUUCCUUGCUCCAGAAAUAAGGAAACCGGUGAGGUUGGUGCCCCAGGUCAAAAAGGACAAGGGAGGAUGGCUUUAACCAGCCAGAGGGGAGAUUGAGGCUCCCUUCUGACCCCACCAUCACCCAGGGAAAUGCAGAUCAACGCAUCCUACCCGGCUUGCAGGGAAUGUGCUGAGGAUGUAGGGUGCCUCAUUAUCUAGAUCAGUGCCCUUCUCCUAAGGAAAGCUGCAUCUCCCACCAUCCUCCCCUGCCAGGACAUUCCCGUGUUGCACAGCAGUGGCAUGGUUUCUUUCCAGUGGUUAGAUCUAUGAGCAGGAGCUGUGUCCUUCAGAUUGUCCCUUGCAGGUGCUUUUGGAGCUCUGUGUAUAUAUCCCGCCAGUUAAUUUACAAGGCAUAGAACCAGCUUAUCCCCUCCUUUAAACUAAAGGGACCAGGAUAAGCAGUGGAAGUUUUAUGCUGGCAGUGGGACUUACUGCAGGGCAUUAAGCUUAUCUUUCCGCUGACUGUUUCAGGCUUGAAUAUCCUGCUAAAACUCCUCACUUGCUAGCACCUAACUUGUUUUGACUGUGAUACUUAACGAUUUCAAAAGCUUCACUAUCACCUCCUGUUCCCACCCAUUUACCUUGCUCUAAUAGCCCCAGGCGCACCCAGCAUCUGAAGUCCCAAAGCCUGGGAGCUGCCCAGUUUUGCCUACGGUCCUACCACCCUUAAUGAAAGCCUCCUCUGGUCCCAUCCAACAUAAACUUAGAUCCAUGUUCACUUGUUCCUAAAGAGUUUAAGCAUUGGCCAUGCCCAUCUCUGAUACUACUGUCUGCUGGGAAAAGCAAGAGACUUGUUCAAAGUUUUGCAGCCAAGGAUGGGGUCGGGAGCAUAAAUAAAGGAAACAUGAUUUUUGGAUUGCACCAUGGGUCUUUAUAGCUCCUCUUUCAGGAUGCACAAACUGCUUUCAGAUGGUUAUAUAGAAGAAAGCUGAGACUUCAGCCCAGGGCCCUGCAGGACCAGCAUUAUCCUGUUCAGCACUAGGGCUGGCAUAAGCAUGGGUAUAAAAGAUGCUCUGUCUCUUCCUGGGGUGAGGGGAAUGAUG